rnacentral:miRNA from 1 species
UCUUUCCAACGCCGGCCAUUCC